GGGAUGCAGUGUAUGGAACGUCUAUAAUCUAGUAUGAGAAAUUAACGAUUUAAGUCCUUCUUAAAUGAGGCCAUUUACCCAUAGAGGGUGCCAGGCCCGUAUAACGUUAAUGAUUAUUAGAAGAUGUUUCCAAAGAGUCGUGUUGCUUGAUAGUGCAGCACUAAGUGGGUGGUAAACUCCAUCUAAAACUAAAUAUGACCAUGAGACCGAUAGUAAACAAGUACCGUGAGGGAAAGUUGAAAAGAACUCUGAAUAGAGAGUUAAAUAGUACGUGAAACUGCUUAGAGGUUAAGCCCGAUGAACCUGAAUAUCCGUUAUGGAAAAUUCAUCACUAAUACUAUGAUAUUUAUAAUAUUAUAGAAAUGGUGUGCAAUUUUUCCAUAUAAGGACAUUGUAAUCUGUUAAUGUAUUAAAUAUUUAUUAAAAGAUCUUAUACAUAAGUUUAUUCAAAUUAGUUAUUUUCGAAUUUCUAACAUAGAAUAAAUGUAUUUGAUUUAAUAAAUCAUUGACAGAUUUUAUUAUAAUAUAGUGCUCAAAUUUUGAACGAAAUUUUACAAUAAUAUGAUAAUUCAAUUUGUUAUAUUUAUUGUAUGCGCUUAUAUGAUUAACAAUGCGAUAGAUUCAGGAUACCUUCGGGACCCGUCUUGAAACACGGACCAAGGAGUCUAACAUAUGUGCAAGUCAUUGGGUAUUUUUAAUAAAACCCAAUGGCAUAAUUAACUUAACUGUUUUUUAAAAAUGGGAUUAGUUUAUAUUUUAUUAUGAAAUAUUAAUUCAAUCCCGGGGCGUUCUAUAUAGUUAUGCAUAAUGAUAUUUAUAUUAUUUAUGUCUCUAACUAGAGCGUACCUUGAGCAUAUAUGCUGUGACCCGAAAGAUGGUGAACUAUACUUGAUCAGGUUGAAGUCAGGGGAAACCCUGAUGGAAGACCGAAACAGUUCUGACGUGCAAAUCGA
rnacentral:rRNA from 1 species